GACGAACGCUGGCGGCGUGCUUAACACAUGCAAGUCGAACGGAAAGGCCUCUUUCGGGGGGUACUCGAGUGGCGAACGGGUGAGUAACACGUGAGUAACCUGCCCUUGACUUUGGGAUAACUUCAGGAAACUGGGGCUAAUACCGGAUAGGAGCUCCUGCUGCAUGGUGGGGGCUGGAAAGUUUCGGCGGUUGGGGAUGGACUUGCGGCUUAUCAGCUUGUUGGUGGGGUAGUGGCUUACCAAGGCUUUGCCGGGUAGCCGGCCUGAGAGGGUGACCGGCCACAUUGGGACUGAGAUACGGCCCAGACUCCUACGGGAGGCAGCAGUGGAGAAUAUUGCACAAUGGGUGGAAGCCUGAUGCAGCAACGCCGUGUGCGGGAUGACGGCCUUCGGGUUGUAAACCGCUUUCGCUCAUGACGAAGCUUUGUGUGACGGUAGUGGGUAAAGAAGCACCGGCUAACUACGU
rnacentral:rRNA from 1 species